rnacentral:tRNA from 1 species
AGGUAACUAGUCUAACACAAGACAACUAAUUUCGACUUAGUAAAUCAUGAUUGAAAUUCAUGGUUUCCAA